rnacentral:rRNA from 1 species
ACACCACUCAAGCUCGGCUUGGUGUUGGGCCUUGUCCCGCGCGGACUUGCCUGAAACUCAGUGGCGACGCAGCCCGACUUCAAGCGUAGUAACUUAACCGCCGCUUUGGAAGCCCCGGGUCUGGGUCCGCCGGACGAACCCCCGCAUCUUUCA